UACGAACUGUGCGAACGUUAUUCGGAAUCACUGGGCUUACAGGGUGCGUAGGCGGCCUGCUAAGUAGGGUGUGAAAGCCCCCGGCUCAACCGGGGAAUGGCGCCCUAAACUGGCGGGCUGGAGUGAGAUAGGGGUGUGCGGAACUUCCGGUGGAGCGGUGAAAUGCGUAGAGAUCGGGAAGAACAUCGGUGGCGAAAGCGCUCUGCUGGACUGCAACUGACACUCAGGGACGAAAGCUAGGGGAGCGAAUGGG
rnacentral:rRNA from 1 species